AUGAUCCUGUUGGAUGAGGUUUCCCUGUUUCGUCCUCCUCAGCAGGGGUCUCCUCAGCUCCAGGGUCUCCUCAGCUCCAGGGUCUCCUCAUUUGGGGUCUCCUCAUUUGGGGUCUCCUCAUUUGGGGUCUCCUCAUUUGGGGUCUCCUCAGUUCCAGGGUCUCCUCAGCUCCAGGGUCUCCUCAUUUGGGGUCUCCUCAGCUCCAGGGUCUCCUCAUCUGGGGUCUCCUCAUUUGGGGUCUCCUCAUCUGGGGUCUCCUCAGCUCCAGGGUCUCCUCAUUUGGGGUCUCCUCAUUUGGGGUCUCUUCACUUGGGGUCUCCUCAUCUGGGGUCUCCUCAUUUGGGGUCUCCUCAGCUCCAGGGUCUCCUCAUCUGGGGUCUCCUCAUUUGGGGUCUCCUAACUUGGGGUCUCCUUAUUUGGGGUCUCCUCAUUUGGGGUCUCCUCAGCUCCAGGGUCUCCUCAUUUGGGGUCUCCUCAGCUUCAGGGUCUUUUCAGCUCUGAGAUCUCCUUGGCUCUGGGAUCUCCUCCUCUCUGGGGUCUCCUCAUUCGAGAUCUCCUCAUUCGGGGUCUCCUCAGCUUUGAUGUCUCCUCAUUUGGGUUCUCCUCAGCUCUGGGAUCUCCUGCCCCACUCCUGCCCCACUGGGGUCUCUCCCCCGCUGUUCCCGGCCCAGCCGGGGCCGUUUCUCCCCAGAGCCCCCAAAGUUGAUUUUGUUUCUGUCCCCGCUCGGAGCUUUCGCUUUCACCGGCCCGGCGGGAUUUCCUGGAAUGGGAGGGACUGGGAGGAACUGGGGGGACUGGGAGGGACUGGGAGGGACUGGGAGGGGACUGGGAGGAACUGGUUUAAUGCUCCACUAUAACCGAUUUAACUGGUUUAAUUCUUCAAUAUAACCAAUUGAACCGAUUUAACUGUUUAACCAGUUUAAAUGGUUUAAUCCUCCAGUAUAACUGGUGUGACUGGUUUAACUGGUUUCAUUCUUCAGUGUAACUGGUGUAAUGUGUCUGUGGGGUUCUAGAGGCUUCUGUGGGGUUCUAGAAGCAUCUAUGAGGAUCCUAUGGGGUUCUAGAUGUGUCUAUGGGAUUCUACAGGCAUCUAUGAGGUUCUAGAAGCAUCUAUGGGGUUCUAGAUGUUUCUAUGAGGUUCUAGAAGCAUCUAUGAAGUUCCCAUGGGGUUUCUCUGGGGUUCUAGAGACAUCUAUGGGGUUCUGGAGGUUUCUAUGGGGUUCUAGAUGUGUCUAUGGGAUUCUACAGGCGUCUAUGAGGUUCUAGAAGCAUCUAUGAAGUUCUAGAUGUUUCUAUGGGGUUCUAAAAGCGUCUAUGAGGUUCCUAUGGGGUUUCUAUGAGGUUCUGGAGGUUUCUAUGGGGUUCUGGAUGUUUCUAUGGGGUUCUAGAAGCAUCUACGGGGUUCUAAAUAUUUCUAUGGAGUUCUAAAAGCAUUUAUGAGGUUGUUGAGAUUUUUAUUGAGUUCUAGAAGCAUCUUUGGGAUUCUAACACCAUCUAUGGG
rnacentral:lncRNA from 1 species